GCAGAUACCAGAAGAUCAAGUUCAGUCUUCCAGCUUCAACAAAGAAGGUGGAGUUAUAUGCCAUUAUCACGGCUCACGGGUCUGACGAGAACUUCUGCGGUGAAUUCUGUGUGACAUCACAUCAUUUCCUGCUCAACAGAGCCAUCAAUAACACCCUUGUGUUUGAGUCAGCUGGAUCACCUCUGGGCUGUGCCAUGCGGGUACCUGAAGCAGCA